UCGAACGAGAGAGAGGAAGCUUGCUUCCUCAAUCGAGUGGCGAACGGGUGACUAUCGCGUGAGGAACCUGCCUCAAAGAGGGGGACAACAGUUGGAAACGACUGCUAAUACCGCAUAGGCCCACAGGUCGGCAUCGACCAGAGGGAAAAGGAGCAAUCCGCUUUGAGAUGGCCUCGCGUCCGAUUAGCUAGUUGGUGAGGUAAUGGCCCACCAAGGCAACGAUCGGUAGCCGGACUGGGAGGUUGAACGGCCACAUUGGGACUGAGACACGGCCCAGACUCCUACGGGAGGCAGCAGUGGGGAAUAUUGCACAAUGGGGGAAACCCUGAUGCAGCGACGCCGCGUGGAGGAAGAAGGUCUUCGGAUUGUAAACUCCUGUUGUUGAGGAAGAUAAUGACGGUACUCAACAAGGAAGUGACGGCUAACUACGUGCCAGCAGCCGCGGUAAAACGUAGGUCACAAGCGUUGUCCGGAAUUACUGGGUGUGAAGGGAGCGCAGGCGGGAAGACAAGUUGGAAGUGAAAUCUAUGGGCUCAACCCAUAAACUGCUUUCAAAACUGUUUUUCUUGAGUAGUGCAGAGGUAGGCGGAAUUCCCGGUGUAGCGGUGGAAUGCGUAGAUAUCGGGAGGAACACCAGUGGCGAAGGCGGCCUACUGGGCACCAACUGACGCUGAGGCUCGAAAGUGUGGGUAGCAAACAGGAUUAGAUACCCUGGUAGUCCACACCGUAAACGAUGAUUACUAGGUGUUGG
rnacentral:rRNA from 1 species